rnacentral:lncRNA from 1 species
AAGGGGCUCACAGCUGCUGGUCUGUGAACAAGCUAGACUUGGCUGUCACACAACUGGCGAGGCAUUGAAGGGCAGGCUGGCGAGCCAGGCAAAGGGGCCCAGGAUGCUUUCCUCCACUGGGACCGGCCCAAGAAAACCCUGGACCAAUCCUGUCUCAGGCAGGUCAGAGUUCCAAGAUGGCUCAGCAGGAAAAGGUGUCUAUCACCAAGACUGACAGCUCAACCUGGGACUCAGGCUAUAGGAGAAAGCUCUUGAAAGUUGUCCGUUGACAUAUAGCAUUACACACACACACACACACACACACACACACACACACUUUAACCACAGAGCCACCGGGCCCGAGGGUGGGGUCCCUCCUCUGUGUUCCUGUCUUCUCGGCUCUGACUUUACUCUGUACUCUUCUAUAUGGUCUCAGUCUUCUAACAUUCACUUCUGCUAUGUCACUUUCCUGGCCAAACAACUUUAGGGACCCCCCUACCCCCACCUCCAGCCCCUAUUCUGAGGAAUAGAGUCCAGCUCCUACACCUUCCAUGC